AUUUUUGUGUGAAUUUUUCUAAGAUGUACAAAAAAACUACCUCUUUUGGAUUACUUUAUAUGAAUCUGUAGUUUUGAGAGGAACAGAAAUGUUGGUGUCUACAUUAUGGCCCCAUGCUAUUCAUGCAUUCACAGACUCUCAUUCUAGGCUUCAAUGAAAAUUGUAAAUGUUUGCUACUGCCUUUAUACGGACUCAGAUAGCUCUUUUCCCUGAUAAUUUGCAACUUCUAAAAUGUAACCAUACAUUUGCAAAUCAUAUCUAAAACUAGAAUAAAUAAGCCUUGAAUGAAGGCAUAUAAGAAAAAUAUGUGAGAUUCUUGUAUACUAACCAAAAGCUUCUCUAUUAGGGGCCCUGAGGUAUUUCGCUUUCCCCUCCUAUUGCUUCUUUAUUUUCAGUAAAAGUGCUUUUGGAUAAGCGAGGUAUUACCUUCCUUACCCUUCUCUGCCUAUAAAAUCUUGAAAUAUUUUGUUUGUUUCAAUAUUUUGGCUUUUGACUAUUAGGC
rnacentral:lncRNA from 1 species